GGUAAAUGUGACGUUACCUCACAUUGUUUACAAGCUGCUAUAUUAACGUCUUUUCGCUGUUGAAACGCUGAUUGACCGAUUACAUGAGACAAGAUACGGAUUUCGUGAGUCUUCAUGCAUAACAAGACGUUCAGCCGCACAAGUCAUGGUUGCAGCAGUGGACGUUUUCACCUGGCGUGCAGGACUCCUCACAUGUGCGAGACAAAGAUUGUGCUGGAAGAAGACAUACACAUUUUAAACUCAUCAUUUUUAGGCUGUAGUUUUGCAUGAUAGUGGCAGGAUGAGGACAUGCCCCAGCACGUACCGGUGGCCUCGGUCCUGCAGAAGUUGGCAGAUGGGGG